rnacentral:rRNA from 1 species
ACCUGACGGAGCAACGCCGCGUGAGUGAUGAAGGUUUUCGGAUCGUAAAGCUCUGUUGCCAGGGAAGAACGUCCGGUAGAGUAACUGCUGCCGGAGUGACGGUACCUGAGAAGAAAGCCCCGGCUAACUACGUGCCAGCAGCCGCGGUAAUACGUAGGGGGCAAGCGUUGUCCGGAAUUAUUGGGCGUAAAGCGCGCGCAGGCGGUUGUUUAAGUCUGGUGUUUAAACCUUGGGCUCAACCUGAGGUCGCACUGGAAACUGGGUGACUUGAGUACAGAAGAGGAAAGUGGAAUUCCACGUGUAGCGGUGAAAUGCGUAGAUAUGUGGAGGAACACCAGUGGCGAAGGCGACUUUCUGGGCUGUAACUGACGCUGAGGCGCGAAAGCGUGGGGAGCAAACAGGAUUAGAUACCCUGGUAGUCCACGCCGUAAACGAUGAGUGCUAGGUGUUAGGGGUUUCGAUACCCUUGGUGCCGAAGUUAACACAGUAAGCACUCCGCCUGGGGAGUACGGUCGCAAGACUG